UACUACUCACACUUAAGGUGUGAGAGAAACUUUCUCCCUUCUCUAACCAGAUCUGAUUUUUUUUUUGGCUUCAAAUCACUGUGUAAAAUGGAAUUAAAGGUUGAGGAUUCAAUCUAGCAUCAAUUUAUCGGUGUAUUAUAGAAUGGAAUCAAAGCUGAAUCAAAGGGUGAGGAUUCACCCCUAACCUAUCUUUAUUUCAUCAUAUCCGAUCCCCUUAUGUAAACCCCCAACACCCCCUGUUCUCGAUUUAACGGCCGGCCACCACCGUUUGGUGGUGGCGGACGGCGGCGACAACAAGAGAUAUAGAAACCUCCACCGUCACCUCUUCCGCCGCCAUGGUGGUGCACGGCGACCUCCACCGUCACCCCUUCCGCCGCCACCUGUGACAUCCACUCCUUUCGCCGCCACCUAUUCAGGUGGGCGACGGUUGUUGGUGGUGCUGAACGCUUGCAGAGGUAGGCGACGGGUGUUGGUGGUGGUGGCGUUGAGAUUGGUGGCGGUGGGGGUUUUUUGGCGGUCGAGGUUUUUUGGUCGUUUUUGUGAUUUGGGGGUUUCGAGUGAAGGGAGAUUGGGUUUGAUUUGUUGGGGGGUUGAUUUGAAUUCUUUGAUUCUGUUGAUUUGAAUUCUUGAUCUUUUGUGAUAAUUGCACUUGUUUGAAUAUUUUUUGAAUGGAUACAGGUUGCUUAAAUGAUGCAUUUGUAUUCUUUGAUUAUAUGGGUUUUGAUCGGUUUGGAUUUGGGGGGCGAUGAUGCAAAAAAAAAAAAACGUUGAUUUUGAUGACGAUGGCGCGGCAAGGACGGCGGAGGGUAGGUUUUUUGAACUUGCAACCCCAUUUUACAGCCUUUUUGAUUAUCAGAAAAUCUGAGCCAAACCCCGUUUUUUUUCGAGAUACACUUUUGUUUUUUUGUUGUUGUUGGUUUUGUAUAUUCUUUCCCCCGUCGAUGACAAUAAAAAUCAAUCCGAGACA